UGGGAGUGACAGCUGGCGAAAGUUGGUUUUCUUCGGACACUCUUCAAGGUGCUGCAUGGUUGUCGUCAGCUCGUGCCGUGAGGUGUCGGGUUAAGUCCCAUAACGAGCCGCAACCCUUUACUGUUAGUUGCCAGCGGGUCAAGCCGGGAACUCUAACGGGACUGCCACGUAAGGUGAGAGGAAGGUGGGAUGACGUCAAAUCAGCAGGCCCUUAUGUCCAGGGCUACACACGUGUUACAAUGGUCGGUACAAAGGGCAGCUACACCGCGAGGUGAUGCUAAUCUCUAAAGCCGGUCUCAGUUCGGAUCGAAGUCUGCAACCCGACUUCGUGAAGUUGGAUUCGCUAGUAAUCGCGCAUCAGCCAUGGCGCGGUGAAUACGUUCUCGGGUCUU
rnacentral:rRNA from 1 species